rnacentral:sRNA from 1 species
GGAUCGUUAUUAUCAACCCAANAAGCUUCGACCAAGGUUCGACUCGAGCGCCAGCGAGAGAGCGUUGCCGCAGGCAACGACCCGAAGGGCGAAGCGCGCAGCGCUGAGUAAUCCUUCCCCCACCA